GGCCCUGCCCUCACGGGCGGAGCGCCCGCCGGAGGAUACCAAACUCUAUUUUAACGACGUUUCUUCUGAGUGGCACAAGCAAAUAAUUAAAACUUUCAACAACGGAUCUCUUGGUUCUGGCAUCGAUGAAGAACGCAGCGAAAUGCGAUAAGUAAUGUGAAUUGCAGAAUUCAGUGAAUCAUCGAAUCUUUGAACGCACAUUGCGCCCGCCAGCAUUCUGGCGGGCAUGCCUGUUCGAGCGUCAUUUCAACCCUCAAGCUCUGCUUGGUGUUGGGGCCCUACGGUUGACGUAGGCCCUUAAAGGUAGUGGCGGACCCUCUCGGAGCCUCCUUUGCGUAGUAACUAACGUCUCGCACUGGGAUUCGGAGGGACUUCUUGCCGUAAAACCCCCAAAUUUUUAAAGGUUGACCUCGGAUCAGGUAGGAAUACCCGCUGAACUUAAGCAUAU
rnacentral:rRNA from 1 species